rnacentral:tRNA from 1 species
ACGUUCUUAGCUCAGUGGAAGAGCAGGUGCCUUCUAAGCAUCUGGUCACAGGUUCGAAUCCUGUAGAACGUA